rnacentral:rRNA from 1 species
AGGUCUAGCCUGCUCCCUGAUUGAUUUUAAGAGCCGCAGUAUUUUGACUGUGCGAAGGUAGCAUAAUAAUUAGUUUCUUUAUUGGGAACUGGAAUGAAUGGUUGGACGAAAUGAUUACUGUCUCUUUUUUAUUUUGAUGAAUUUUACUUUUGAGUUAAAAGGCUCAAAUUUUUUUAAAAGACGAGAAGACCCUAUAGAGUUUUAUUAUUUCUUUAGUUGUUAAAUUGUUAGUAUAGAAAUUUUCAAUUUUAGGUUAAUUUGGUUGGGGUGACUAGAAAAUUUAUUUAACUUUUCUUUUAUUGAAACAUUGAUUUAUGAUUAGAUGAUCCAUCUUGUGAUUAUAAGAUUAAAUUACCUUAGGGAUAACAGCGUAAUUCUUCUAGAGAGUUCUUAUCGAAAGGAGAGAUUGCGACCUCGAUGUUGGAUUAAAAUUUAUUUUUGGUGUAGAAGCUGAAUAAUUAAGUC